UAAUAGUUCAUAGUGAAAGAAAGUACACAAUAAAAAAUGUAGAAUUAUUUAUUAGCAAAUUAUAUAGUUUCUGAGUACAUGUGUGUAUAUGCGCAGCCAGGACAACGAGAGAUAAAUAUGUAAAUAUAAAUCUCUCACAUACAAGCCACAUCUUCUUACCGUGAGUUAAUGAAGACGAGAUAUCCUACAACUAGUAUCAAGACUCAAUGUUUAUACAAGAUUCCAGAAAAAUAUACCGUUGUAAGUCCUCCUCACUCGAGAUGACCUUGACUGGUGCUUUUCUCAUGAAGAUUUUCCCGUUUCGGACCCAGAGGAAUUUGUAGUUCUUCUCACGCUGAAACUUCCUCGCCAAUGCAUGUAACCUCCUCCGAGCUGGUGACAGCGACUCAUUGACAUAGAUCGGGCAAUCGAAAUAUUGACUACGUAAUAGGUUUUAAAAUUUGGUUUAUAGUUGUUGUAGACAGCAGUAACGAAAAUGAAUUUUUCACUGUGUGAUGUAGUUUGAAUAUUGGAAGAAUAAUCGUCUACCGAGGGAAGAAUGGGGUUUUCAACAUGUUGUACCUGUUACUAUAGAAUCCAUUAAACAUAACAUUAACGUAUUCAAAUUCUGUUUUCAAGAUUUUAUACGAUUAAGAGUCGGCUGUAGAAUCACGAGCUUGUGUUUUUCUUCAUAAGAACAAUAAUAAACCUAGUUCACUUUAA